CGAUAGGUAGAACUUAAAAACGUAUCGAUUAGAAUCUACCAUUAAUGUUCGCAUUGAGUGAAUCCAUCUAUUUUUUUGUUUCUAUUUAGCUAAAUUUUUGAUUCAACAAUUUUUCCAAAUUGAACAAAAUACUUCGCAAAAUUUUAUUGUCAACAAAUCUUCACCAUCGUUUCUAUAAAAUAGUUUUGUAGAAUCAAUCAUUUUCGUGUUUUAUGGCCGCCAUCUUGUAUUUGUGAGGUAAACAUUGCAAGUGUUGGAAAAAGUGCAUACGACGAACAAUAAUGGAUUUCUUACAAUUAUGUGAGUUUAUCAAAAAGUAGCAGUUUUUCUUUUGGUUUUUCAUGAUACUCCUGUUGAUAAAGAUCAUUUGAAACAAGGUAGAACAUGUUUUUGUCUCCGGAAAAGAGAAAUCAUAGGAGGGAAGUUCAAGAUCGGAUGAAACAACAGUGACGAUGUUACCGGCUGCAAAGAUUUGUUAAAAGGAAUCGCACCACAUUACUACAUAACGCUGCCAAUAUUUCUAUUGUAGCAGCUUUUCAUCUUGGGCUGUGUAAAUUGUUGAAUAUUGUAUUAUAAAAUCGUUUUGUUUUCUAUUUACAAACAUAUAAA